rnacentral:rRNA from 1 species
AUGAACGCUGGCGGUAUGCCUUAAGCAUGCAAGUCGAACGCUCCGACGCAAGUCGGAGAGUGGCAGACGGGUGAGUAAUAAUAAGGAACGUACCCCAAGAUGAAGGAUAGCUCGCCGAAAGGCGGGGUAAUCCUGCAUAGUCUCGUUAAGAGUAAAGAGCGUAACUGCUCGUUUUGGGAGCGGCCUUAUUCCUAUCAGCUAGUUGGUGAGGUAAUAGCUCACCAAGGCUAUGACGGGUAGGGGGCGUGAGAGCGUGAUCCCCCACAAUGGCACUGAGACACGGGCCAUACACCUACGGGUGGCAGCAACUGGGAAUAGUUGUCAAUGGACGAAAGUCUGAACACGCGAUACCGCGUGAGGGAUGAAGUAUCUCGGUAUGUAAACCUCUUUUGGUCCGAUAUAGUGUCGGACAGAAUAAGCACCUACUAACUACGU